CUGAGAGACUUCAUUGUCGCUUAGCAACAACUUUGUUUGCUAGUAUUGACGAACUACAUUGCUUGGCGGAAGGAGGACGAGCUGUUAUUUUUAGUCAGAUGCUGUGGAUUAAAAACUUGAUUUUCCUCUUGCCUUGUUCUUUUUAAUUAGCUCGCAAUCCCGUGGAACCGUUUUCAGCUACUCAUACGUCACAGCCCCUGGUCUAAAAAAAUCACUAUUGGUGACGCCAUCAGAGCCUCCCACAGCCAGCAAGGCACCAUUGAAGACUACAAGGGACACCUGAGGCACAAUACACAAGAGUGUCCACCUCAUACUGUCCGGGUUAAACCUCUCCGCAGCACAGAGCUCCAAGUUUAGCUCGUCUUUGCCACCAGCCACAUAGAUGUGUCCCAAGUACACAGCGCAGCCGGUGUUCUCCCUGGGACUCAGCAUGUGGGCGCAUAUCGACCAGAAAACAGCUGCUGCUGCUGCUGGAAACAAGGCUGAUGAGAGUGCUGGUCCCUCACAGGGACAAGAGGUGCCAACUUGCCACAUGGCUCUGCCAGUCUCCAGCUGGGACCAGCUCCGGCACCCCUGCUGCUCUGCACAGAUGGGACAGGUCAUCAUGCCAUCCACUGACACAGUACAUGGCUGUUGUGUUAACUUAAGAUCCCAGAUGGGUGGAAUCACACAAGGUCUAAUUGUUAAACCUAAUGUAUGGUGGGCCCAAACACUAUUAUUAUUAGUAGAAAUUCUUAAAAUAUGCACCCAGUGAUGAGACAGUUUUACAAACAACACUACAUGAUUAAGAUAACCUAAAUGGGGUUUUUUUUCUUUUUUUUGCUGAUGAUACAAAUUAUUUGUAUUAUUUUUAUUUGGCAUGUUAGCCAAUCUAAAUAAAAAAAAAAAAGUGUUUUGUUGAUUUAGAUUUUCUGAUUUAAACUGAAAGACUAAGUGCUCCCUUAUGGGUUGAAUAUGUUCUGUCUACUUCUUAAGCUAAAAAACCCAUCUAGAAACCCAUUUGAUUAUCGGAAAAAUGCAUUGUCAAAAAGCUGGAAACUGCUGUUUUUCACAGCUCAGGAAGUUUACUUUUUUGAGGUUCAUGGUUUUCGCAGGACAGCCUAAUUGUAACUCUUUGUUACUUAACGCAUAGACUGUAUAUAAAUACAAUAUUAAAUGUUGUACAGUACAUACAAAUGUAUAAAUAUAGCUUGACCUAAAUGGUUGAGAAAAGGAGCAUUAGCUGUAACUGGGAUUUACGCGGUAGUUGUGAUCAUCUUAAAAAAAAUAAAGGCAAUUUGUCACUGA